rnacentral:tRNA from 1 species
GUCCCUGUAGCGCAAUGGAUAGUGCGUUGGACUUCUAACCCAUAGAUCGUGGGUUCGAUUCCCACCUGGGAUG